rnacentral:rRNA from 1 species
GGACGAGCGCUGGCGGCGUGCUUAACACAUGCAAGUCGAGCGGUAAGGCCCUUUCGGGGGUACACGAGCGGCGAACGGGUGAGUAACACGUGGGUGACCUGCCCUCAGCUCUGGGAUAAGCCUGGGAAACCGGGUCUAAUACCGGAUAUGACUCCAUGACGCAUGUUGUGGGGUGGAAAGCCUUGUGCGGCUGAGGAUGGGCCCGCGGCCUAUCAGCUUGUUGGUGGGGUGAUGGCCUACCAAGGCGACGACGGGUAGCCGGCCUGAGAGGGCGACCGGCCACACUGGGACUGAGACACGGCCCAGACUCCUACGGGAGGCAGCAGUGGGGAAUCUUGCGCAAUGGGCGAAAGCCUGACGCAGCGACGCCGCGUGAGGGAUGACGG